GGAUUCCCCUAGUAGCGGCGAGCGAAGCGGGAAGAGCUCAAAUUUAUAAUCUGGCACCUUCGGUGUCCGAGUUGUAAUCUCUAGAAAUGUUUUCCGCGUUGGACCGCACACAAGUCUGUUGGAAUACAGCGGCAUAGUGGUGAGACCCCCGUAUAUGGUGCGGACGCCCAGCGCUUUGUGAUACAUUUUCGAAGAGUCGAGUUGUUUGGGAAUGCAGCUCAAAUUGGGUGGUAAAUUCCAUCUAAAGCUAAAUAUUGGCGAGAGACCGAUAGCGAACAAGUACCGUGAGGGAAAGAUGAAAAGCACUUUGGAAAGAGAGUUAACAGUACGUGAAAUUGUUGGAAGGGAAACGCUUGAAGUCAGACUUGCUUGCCGAGCAAUCGGUUUGCAGGCCAGCAUCAGUUUUCCGGGAUGGAUAAUGGUAGAGAGAAGGUAGCAGUUUCGGCUGUGUUAUAGCUCUCUGCUGGAUACAUCUUGGGGGACUGAGGAACGCAGUGUGCCUUUGGCGGGGGUUUCGACCUCUUCACACUUAGGAUGCUGGUGGAAUGGCUUUAAACGACCCGUCUUGAAACCGCGGCAGCCCA
rnacentral:rRNA from 1 species